GUAGCAAGGUUAACCGCAUAGGGGAGCCGUAGGGAAACCGAGUCUUAACUGGGCGUGUAGUUGCUAGCAUUAGACCCGAAACCGAGUGAUCUAGCCAUGGGCAGGUUGAAGGUUGAGUAACAUCAACUGGAGGACCGAACUCACUAACGUUGAAAAGUUAGGAGAUGACCUGUGGCUAGGGGUGAAAGGCCAAUCAAACUCGGAGAUAGCUGGUUCUCCCCGAAAGCUAUUUAGGUAGCGCCUCGGACGAACACUACUGGGGGUAGAGCACUGUUAAGGCUAGGGGGUCAUCCCGACUUACCAACCCUUUGCAAACUCCGAAUACCAGUAAGUGCUAUCCGGGAGACACACGGCGGGUGCUAACGUCCGUCGUGAAGAGGGAAACAACCCAGACCGCCAGCUAAGGUCCCGAAGUUAUGGCUCAGUGGGAAACGAUGUGGAAAGGCAGAGACAGCUAGGAGGUUGGCUUAGAAGCAGCCAUCCUUUAAAGAAAGCGUAAUAAGA
rnacentral:rRNA from 1 species